GACGAACGCUGGCGGCGUGCUUAACACAUGCAAGUCGAACGGAAAGGCCCCCACCUUGGUGGGGGUGCUCGAGUGGCGAACGGGUGAGUAACACGUGGGUGAUCUGCCCUGUACUUCGGGAUAAGCUUGGGAAACUGGGUCUAAUACCGGAUAGGACCAUGGUUUAGUGUCUCAUGGUGGAAAAAUUAUUGUUUUGGUGCAGGAUGAGCUCGCGGCCUAUCAGCUUGUUGGUGGGGUAAUGGCCUACCAAGGCGUCGACGGGUAGCCGGCCUGAGAGGGUGGACGGCCACAUUGGGACUGAGAUAUGGCCCAGACUCCUACGGGAGGCAGCAGUGGGGAAUAUUGCACAAUGGGCGCAAGCCUGAUGCAGCGACGCCGCGUGGGGGAUGACGGCCUUCGGGUUGUAAACUCCUUUCGUUAGGGACGAAGCCACACCUUUUUUGGGUGUGGUGACGGUACCUUUGUUAAGAAGCACCGGCUAACUACGUG
rnacentral:rRNA from 1 species